rnacentral:rRNA from 1 species
UACAGAGGUCCCGAGCGUUGUUCGGAUUCACUGGGCGUAAAGGGUGCGUAGGUGGCAUGUUAAGUUUGAUGUGAAAGCUCAGGGCUUAACCCUGAAAUGGCAUUGAAUACUAGCGUGCUGGAGGUUUGGAGGGGGGACUGGAAUUCUCGGUGUAGCAGUGAAAUGCGUAGAUAUCUGGAGGAACACCGGUGGCGAAGGCGGCAUUCUGGACCGAAACUGACGCUGAGGCGCGAAAGCCAGGGGAGCAAACGGG